rnacentral:tRNA from 1 species
GUUUUGGUAGCUUAAAUAUAAAAGCGUCGGCCUUGUAAGUCGAAGACCGGAGAUGAAAACUCUCCCCAAAACAU